rnacentral:lncRNA from 1 species
CCUUAACUCAAUUUUAUUUAACACUAAAACAAUAGUAAUGAUAAAAGGACCUUUAAUCUUUGUGAUAUUUGUAGGAAAAUCACAUUGUCUAAGUACUUAACUUAAACUUAAGUUCUAAUAAAGUGGUUUUGGUUGAUUUUGGGGAGAUCUCCAGGACAUUUACACACCGCAUCAAUGCAUUUGCAACCUGCUUUUGGAUGAAGAAAUUCACAAUAAUCAUCAUUUUGACAUGCAGAGACAGGGCUACCUCCUCUUGCAUCGGACAUAUCUACAUAUACACAAACAUUUCACUAUUGUCAUUAUUAAAAAAUAUCAUAUUUAGGAUAAAAAUAUUUGACGAUAAUAUAAAAUAUUUUGUCAAAAUAAAACUCAUUGAUAAAUUAAGUAUUAAUUA